rnacentral:rRNA from 1 species
UACAGAGGUGGCAAGCGUUGUUCGGAAUUACUGGGCGUAAAGGGCGCGUAGGCGGCCUCCUAAGUCGGACGUGAAAGCCCCAGGCUUAACCUGGGAACUGCGUCCGAUACUGGGAGGCUUGGAUUCGGGAGAGGGAUGUGGAAUUCCAGGUGUAGCGGUGAAAUGCGUAGAUAUCUGGAGGAACACCGGUGGUGAAGGCGGCAUCCUGGACCGAGAUCGACGCUGAGGCGCGAAAGCUAGGGGAGCAAACGGG